GGGCGCUUGGUCUAGGGGUAUGAUUUCUCUUUCGCACUAAACUUGUGCUUUAUUAGAGAAGGUCCGGGGUUCAAUUCCCCGAGUGUCCA